rnacentral:rRNA from 1 species
AGAGUUUGAUCAUGGCUCAGAACGUACGCUGGCGGCACGCCUAACACAUGCAAGUCGAACGAAGUAGCAAUACUUAGUGGCAGACGGGUGAGUAACAUGUAGGUAUCUACCCUAUGGCCUGGAAUAACACGAGGAAACUUGUGCUAAUACCGGAUAAGUCUUUACGGAGAAAGCUUUAUGCACCAUUGGAUGAGCCUGCACUUGAUUAGUUUGUUGGUAGGGUAAUGGCCUACCAAGACUUUGAUCAAUAGCUGAUUUGAGAGGAUGAUCAGCCACAUUGGGACUGAGACACGGCCCAAACUCCUACGGGAGGCAGCAGUGGGGAAUCUUGCACAAUGGAGGAAACUCUGAUGCAGCGAUGCCGCGUGAGUGAAGAAGGCCCUUGGGUUGUAAAGCUCUUUCGUCGGGGAAGAAAAUGACUGUACCCGAAUAAGAAGGUCCGGCUAACUUCGUGCCAGCCGCCGCGGUAAUAC